UAACACGCUAUUAACUAAUCCGCGAUCAAAUCAACCCGGAGGGCGCACAAAGAAUAUCAAACAGUUAACGCUGAGCCUUAUAAGCUUAGUUCUACCGCGAAAGCCUUGCGAGUAAUACGCUUCGAAGGCUACCACCCUGUAACAAAUAUAACAAGUACAUCUUAGAGUAUUUCGGGAAUAUUUUCGUACAAUAUUGUUAGGUAUAUUCUUCAAACAUGUACGGUUGGCUGUUGGAAAGCGUACAACAUUUCAUUGUGGAGGAAUGUGGGGAAGAAAUAUGGGAAACGAUUCUAAGGGAGGCAGGUGCCAGAAACACAGUCUUCAGUGCGACACAGCAAUACCCAGACGCCCUGAUGCUCCGACUAGCCAGCGCUUUAGCUCGUCUCCUCUCAAAAGACCCCAACAGCCCUGUACCGUCCCGGCCAGCGAGUCCAGUACCAAAGAAACCAUCUUUCAAAUCCAAGCCCAGCUGGAGAAGCGCAUCAGUCCACGCAGACAAUAGACCACAGACCUUCAAAUGUCCCUUCACAGCCACAAACGUAUUGACAGCUGUCACUAAGAAAGAAAUUAAUGCUUACACGUCUACUGAAGAGAUUCGACCAAUGACAAUGUCAACUGACCGCAUAAAUAUGGAAAAGGGAAUAGAAGUGGUCAGAAAGGAGUUGCAGAGGCGCAGUUUGGGGAUCAAAUUAGAAGCGGUGCAUGCAGAGAAGAGUAAGGAAACCCCUGAAGAAUCUAUUCCAGAAUGUGAGCAAGCGGAGAGUCAGAACGCCGCCUCGGAACCCACAUCCCCUGAGCACGAGAAUAUGAAAAACUCCAUGUCCAAGCCAACAAGGAAGACUAGUUGUACCGUAGCAUUGGAUGUAUACCGGCGGCGAGGGUCAGGAGCUCCGGGAAGGCAAAGACUGAACAGCAUCAGCCUCAUUUCGUGCGAGAAACUAAACGCCAUGAAAGAGAAAUUUGCCACACCGGAAAAGGUGAUGCACUUCUUCGGCAGGUGCUUUGUGAAAUUCUUCAGCAAUUACGGCUACGACACUAUGAUACGUGCGACCGGUCGAUACUUCUGCACAUUCCUGCAGUCCGUGGACAACAUCCAUCAGCGUAUGCGGUACACUUUUCCGAGGAUGCGGUCUCCGAGCAUGCAGCUCACGAGGGCUCACAGGCACGGAGCUGAACUCGUAUACAGCAGUGGAAGGACCGGCUUUACGCAUUACCUGAUGGGCCAGCUCUACGAGAUAGCCGAGGACAUCUUCUCAUUGAAGUUGAAAGUUUCCAUCAUGAAAGAGAGCAUGGAGGGAACAUACUAUAAUGCGGUUCUGAGAUUGGAGUUCGACAAUAGUGAUUACGUACAAUCGUUGAUGUUCCGCAAGAACAUAGCGUGUCCUCUACCAUCGGUGCCGGCUUCGCUACUGCUGCAAUUGUUUCCGUUUGGAGUACUGCUUGACCGAAGAAUGAAAAUCUUAAUGGCCGGCGAAAAAUUGGUAGCUGCUUGGGGCGGACCGUAUAAUCGUAUUGAAAAAUCGUCAAUCGUCGAAGUUCUACGCCUGAGGAAACCAAAAGUUUCGUUUACUUGGGAUAAGGUGGUCUGUAUGCAGACAAUGAUCUUCGAACUGGAGUUGGUGCGUUGGCGUGCGAAGUCCACGAGUGAGGCGAGACGAGGGUCUCAGGGUGCCCGUUCCAUAUUAUUAAGGGGACCCAUUUAUCUACUCGAAGAAAUUGACGCCCUCAUCUUCUUAUGCAGUCCCAUCUUCAAUGAUCUAGAGGAAAUCCGGCAAGCAGGUCUAUACGUCGCCGAUAUGAACGGACAUGGACUCUCUAAGGAGAUGCUCCUAAACGGUUGGCAGCAUCUCUCCAGACUAGAACUACUGUUCGAGAAAGCGGAGACCCGAUGUUCGUCUUUGGAGAAAUCCUGUAGACUACUGGACCAGUGGAAGAAGAGAGGCGAUCAGCUGUUAUACUCCAUGAUACCGAAGGGAAUUGCUGAUCAUUUGAGAGCAGGACGAGAUCCGAUGGCUGCUUGUCAAGCGUUCGAAUCUGUGACGAUAAUAUUCUGCGGAGUCCAGGUAGCAGAGGCGGGGACUCGUGCCGACGUCAUGCAGACCGUCGCUUAUAUUAACGAUGUGUAUUCGAGGAUCGACCGGCUCCUUGAUACUCAUCGAGUUUAUAAGGUGGAGACAGUAGGAACAGUGUACAUGCUGGUGUCCGGGGCGCCCGAGCGGCGCCGGGCUCAUGCCGCUUCUGCCGCCAGUGCCGCGCUCGCAGUCUGCCGCGCCCUGCCCGCGCUUACUAUAGGAAUACAUUCCGGUCCGUGCGUCGCGGGAGUGUUGGGGUUGAGGCUUCCUCGUUACUGUCUUGUGGGAGACACCGUGAACACAGCGAGUAGAAUGCAAACUUCUUCUGAGCCGGGGCGGAUCCAGAUCUCCGCUACCACAGCGGCACAACUGCCCGCGGGAAGGUUCAGGCUUCGUCCUCGAGGUGUUAUCAAAGUUAAGGGCAAGGGCAUGAUGGAAACGUUCUGGUUGGAAGGAGAGAUCGAAGAAGAGGAACAAGACGAGGCCUUGCAGCUGUUCUCGGCUUUAUGCGGAGACGAUUAAUGCUUAAAUUCCAAUGGCACGUUUCGAGCUUCGAAGGAUUCCCCUCCGGCCGAUCUGCGCUAGUACUAGGCAAGGGCAUGAUGGAAACGUUCUGGUUGGAAGGAGAGAUCGAAGAAGAGGAACAAGACGAGGCCUUGCAGCUGUUCUCGGCUUUAUGCGGAGACGAUUAAUGCUUAAAUUCCAAUGGCACGUUUCGAGCUUCGAAGGAUUCCCCUCCGGCCGAUCUGCGCUAGUACUAGUACUUUCUAAGCUUACGAUUCAAACUACAUUCUUAAUUAUACAUAUAAAUAAAAUUGGAGCGUCUGUUUGUAAUAUUAAAAUAACCACUUUUUACUACAUGCAUCUGAAUGUAUAUACGGUACAUACACCAAAAUAACAUUUUUUACAAUUUUUGUCUGUCUGUCUGUUUGUUCCGGCUAAUCUCUGGAACGGCUGGACCGAUUUUGACGAGACUUUCACUGAUAAGUAGCUGAUUAUAUAAGGAGUAGCUUAGGCUACUUUUUUUAGACUAGCUUCGCUUCGCACCCGCGAGUAACAUCGCGGGACUCAGCUAGUCACACAUAAAUAUAUUGUGUUCACAUUAUAUUAUUUUUUACUUAUAAACUUUUGAUCUUCAUUCAAUAAGUUAGGUACCAAAAAAUUUUCUAUAAUAAUUGCCUUAGGACAAACUGAACCCUUUUUUUACGUACAUUAUGCGUUAACUAGCUCUAGGACCAUUGAGCGACAAUUGCUUUUUGUCGUUAGCGUAUUCCUUCUAUCCAUGUAACCAUUGGUUUAGCGUUUGUUAUUGAAUUCGGUAAGGUCUUGUGAGUCCGGACGGGUAGGUAUCACCGCCCUGCCUAUUUCUGUCGUUAAGAGUAAUGCGUUUUGGUUUGAAGGGUGGGACAGCCGUUCUAACUAUACUGAGACCUUAGAUUCUUAGAACAUAUAUCUCAAGCUGAGUGGCGCAUUUACGUUGUAGAUGUCUAUGGCCUUCAGUAACCACUUAACACCACGUGGGCUGUGAGCUCGUCCUACCAUCUAAGUAAUAAAAAAUAAAAAAAUAAAAAAUCAUACAGCACCACUAAGCGAUAAUCGCAAGAAAGCACAUCCAAGCCUCACUAGAGAUAAGUAAAACCAAAGACAAAAUUCUAUUCAUGAUCAUUUAUUUAUUCAACAUUUGAAUUAAAUUCGACUUUAAAAUAUAUUUAAUUUUUUUUUUAAUAAUAUUAUAUUUUUGUUAAUUAUUGCAACAUUUUAUACAUUUAAAUAGUCACAAUGAAAUACAUUUUUUUCAUAUAUCAUGUUGAGUACAUUAUUUAAGCUUAUUCCUAUAUUCGUAGAACAAAUUUUAAAUUGAUAUAUAAUUUAGAAAAAAUAUAACAAUUGCAUUGAAGUGAAGAAAUUAAAGCUAAAUAAUAUAUUUGUUUUUUAAAUGAUUUAAAAAAAAAAACAAUAUAAAAAUUAGAAAAUAAAUACUAAAUUUAUCAAUAAAUCAACGUUUGAAUUUCUUUCAAACCCUUUAAUAAUAUAUUAUUGAUGUUUCUAUUAUUUUAUGUACAAGAUAAUGCUGUACCCAAGAAAUAUUGUAUAGAUUAGAUAUUUUUUUUAUAGCUUAGAUGUGUGGACGAGCUCACAGCUCACCUGGUGUUAAGUGGUUAUACUGAGCCCAUAGACAUCUAGAACGUAAAUGCGCCACCCAGCUUGAGAUAUAAGUUCUAAGGUCUCAAGUAUAGUUACAACGGCUGCCCUACCCUUCAAACCGAAACGCAUUACUGCUUCACGGCCGAAGUAGGCAGGGUGGUGGUACCCACCCGCGCGGACUCACAAGAGCUCCUACCACCAGUAAAAAGUUUCUUCAUAAAUGUAUACUGGUCUGUUUAUAAAAUUACGAUCACACUAUAAUAAGAUUUGUAAUUGGUACGUUGGCACUGAGGUACAUUGGGACGGUUAGAAGUCUAAUAUUGAUAAAAUAAAGUUUAAACUAAUUGAAUUAUUUUCAUUUAAUUAUACUCGCCUUUAUUAUUUUCAUUUAAUUAUACCAGACGUUUCGAAUUAGUGUCAUAAUAUAUCGAGGGGAGAAAGGCUGUUUCAUUUAAGAGACAUUUUUACAACUAUACAGAUUAAAAUUUAAAGUUUUAAAAUAUUUUUUAACUUUUUUUUUACAUAUCGUUCCCAAAAUUAAGUUUAAUUUUGUAUUUUUUUUUUUUUUUUAAUAUCUUUACCAAAAAGUCUUCUUCAGCUAUUUGAAUGGGUAUACUUAAUUGAAGUUCAAUUAAAAAUAUCAAAAU